UACGGGGGGGGCAAGCGUUGUUCGGAAUUAUUGGGCGUAAAGAGCUCGUAGGCGGCCUGUCGCGUCGGUUGUGAAAGCCCGGGGCUUAACCCCGGGUCUGCAGUCGAUACGGGCAGGCUAGAGUUCGGUAGGGGAGAUCGGAAUUCCUGGUGUAGCGGUGAAAUGCGCAGAUAUCAGGAGGAACACCGGUGGCGAAGGCGGAUCUCUGGGCCGAUACUGACGCUGAGGAGCGAAAGCGUGGGGAGCGAACAGG
rnacentral:rRNA from 1 species